UUCAAAAGUGGUUGAACUUUAUUGAUUGUACUUUUAGCGAGUCGUAUAUCCGUGAUGGUUGUGAGUACCGUAUCCUGCUGGAAGGACUGUGGUCGGCUUACAUGGUGAUGAAAGAAAACGUGACAAUGUAGCCCUGAAGUUACGAAAACAGGAUUAUCUCUUCCUGCAUCUUAUUUAUUGUGCAUCCAAACAAUGGCUUCCAUUCUUGUGUACGGGAGUCAGCCGCAGUCACUGACUGAGCAGCAUUCCAUCAUCUUGCUCACCAUUACUCUUGGAUCACAGUCCUCCUCCGGUUUCAUCUAUGGGUCACACACUCAGAUCCGCAGGAGGUUAUGAAUGAUACUCGAAGACAUUUAGAUGAAUAUCCUACACACAUAUUCAUGGCUGAGAUACGCCAAAUAACUAGACUGCUAUCCUGCACUUUGAAUUCUUCGUACAUUACUGGACCACAUUAAAACU